UUACGACCAUAUCACACUUAAACACCGAUUCACGGCAGGUCAGCGAAGUUAAGCAAUGUCGAGCCUGGCCAGUACCAAGAUGGGUGACCGCUUAGGAAUAACAGGUGCUGUAAG